rnacentral:rRNA from 1 species
GAUGAACGCUGGCGGCGUGCCUAAUACAUGCCAGUCGAGCGAACAGACGAGGAGCUUGCUCCUCUGACGUUAGCGGCGGACGGGUGAGUAACACGUGGAUAACCUACCUAUAAGACUGGGAUAACUUCGGGAAACCGGAGCUAAUACCGGAUAAUAUAUUGAACCGCAUGGUUCAAUAGUGAAAGACGGUUUUGCUGUCACUUAUAGAUGGAUCCGCGCCGCAUUAGCUAGUUGGUAAGGUAACGGCUUACCAAGGCGACGAUGCGUAGCCGACCUGAGAGGGUGAUCGGCCACACUGGAACUGAGACACGGUCCAGACUCCUACGGAAGGCAGCAGUAGGGAAUCUUCCGCAAUGGGCGAAAGCCUGACGGAGCAACGCCGCGUGAGUGAUGAAGGUCUUCGGAUCGUAAAACUCUGUUAUUAGGGAAGAACAAAUGUGUAAGUAACUAUGCACGUCUUGACGGUACCUAAUCAGAAAGCCACGGCUAACUACGUG